AAAACCUGAUCCGUCAGAU
rnacentral:rRNA from 1 species